AGCUCUUAGCGGUGGAUCACACGGCUCAUGCGUUGAUGAAGAACACGGCUAGCUGCGAGAAUUGAUGUGAAUUGCAGGACACAUUGAUCAUCGACACUUCAAACACGCUUGCGGCUCCGGGUUCCUCCCAGGGCUAUGCCUGACUGAGCAUCA